AUUGAACGCUGGCGGCAGGCCUAACACAUGCAAGUCGAACGAGUGGCGGACGGGUGAGUUAUGUCUGGGAAACUGCCUGAUGGAGGGGGUUAACUACUGGAACCUGUAGCUAAUACCGCCUACCAUCGGAUGUGCCCAGAUGGGAUUAGCUAGUAGGUGGGGUAAAGGCUCACCUAGGCGACGAUCUCUAGCUGGGCUGAGAGGAUGACCAGUCACACUGGAACUGAGACACGGUCCAGACUCCUACGGGAGGCAGCAGUGGGGAAUAUUGGACAAUGGGCGAAAGCCUGAUGCAGCCAUGCCGCGUGUAUGAAGAAGGCCUUCGGGUUGUAAAGUACUUUAAGCUGGGAGGCGUUACCCGCAGAAGAAGCACCGGCUAACUCCGUGCCAGCAGCCGCGGUAAUAC
rnacentral:rRNA from 1 species